AAGUCGAACGCAGCAGCUUCGGCUGGCUGCGUGGCGAACGGCUGAGGAACACGUGGGUGACCUGCCCCAGAGUGGGGGAUACCCCGUCGAAAGACGGGAUAAUCCCGCAUACGCUCUACGGAGGAAAGCCCCUACGGACGCUCUGGGAGGGGCCUGCGGCCCAUCAGGUUGUUGGUGUGGUAACGGCGCACCAAGCCACUGACGGGUACCCGGUCUGAGAGGACGGCCGGGCAGACUGGGACUGAGACACGGCCCAGACUCCUACGGGAGGCAGCAGCAAGGAAUUUUCGGCAAUGGGCGCAAGCCUGACCGAGCAACGCCGCGUGCGGGAUGACGGCCUUCGGGUUGUAAACCGCUUUUCGGGGGGACGAC
rnacentral:rRNA from 1 species